AGGGGAUUGUGUUUUGGUUUCGUUGAGUUGGGUUUAUUCUGUAUUGUUAGAAUAAGAAACCCUUUUUGAGAAAUGGUUUUCUGACUUUGAAUUUGAUAGCAAUUGGAUUUGUGAAUAUAUCUGAAAUGAUAAGGAUAUAGCUGUUCAUGCAUGCGCUAUUGCUUGGUUGCUCUGUGGCGGAUCGGUAUUUAGAUGUUAAAAGAAAUAAGAAAAACUAAUACUUAGGCUUUUAUAUGGCUAUGACAAUGAUUUAUGAUUUGAAAAGUUGGACAAUUUGGCGGUAGACACCUUGUUUCAUGUUGAUCAUAUGGGAGUUUGUGUUGGAAAAUCAUGGAGAAUUGGUAGUGGUAGUAUAGUUAAAGAAUAUUGUAUGUGCUUAGCGAUUGCUGCUGCUUUUUGAAAACUUUUCUGCUUAAUUAGGCCAUGGAAUACUUGAAAAGUUGGUCUAUUUGGCGUUAGACACCUUGUUUCAUGUUGAUGAUAUGGGAGUUUGUGUAUGAAAACGGGGAUUGGUAGUGAUAGUAUAGUUAAAGAAUCUUGUAUGUGCUUAGCGAUUACUGCUGCUUCUUGAAAAUUUGUCAGCUCAAUUUGGC
rnacentral:misc_RNA from 1 species